ensembl:lncRNA
AAACAAUGAAACUAAAGUCCACAACACUGACAAUGCCACUUGGCCAGGCUUGGGUGUAGUUCUCCAUGGUUAAAAAGAAGAGUUAUCUCUUGUCUGGCCCUCAUCCAAGGUGAGGACUGGGACUGAGCAGAAAACCUCUAGAGUAGGUGGCUAACAUCUUGGAGAAGUUCCUCAUGCUUUUUGGCUAACAGCCAGACGAGAUAACUCCUAAAAUCAAUCAAGUUUGUCACUGUCAGAUGUGUUCUUUUUUUGUUUGUUUUUUUUUUGCCUAAACUUUAAGAGUCGGUAGAUUUGAAGGAGGUAAAGCAGAAAUCUGAUUGUUCUUCAAGUUUACACAAUGAUUUUCAGAGCUGCAAACUAUCCAACCCAAAAUGUGGAUUAUAUAUGGAAUAAGCAAGAUGAGGUCCAAAGUCAAGUGCUUAGAGAUUAAAGCUGGUGGGCUGACUACCACCUACUGUCCAUGUUUAGAGUGCUGCAGGCCAGGCCAGUGCAGGCCACAAUGUCAAGGUCGCUUGCUGAAAUUGUCGACGCACAUCCAAAAAACCCCUCAGCCUUGCAGUGGUCCUACAUCCAAAGUGUACCAGCCAUCCACAUGUUUUGACAGGUGACAACUGAGCUUCCGUCUGGACUGGAAGCUGUGCACCCCCCAACCCACACGCACCGUAGACAGUUCCCUCGAAGGACCGCUCACCAUGGGAACCCACGAUUUGCUCGAGGCCACAUCUUUCUAAGGGGAGGAAAGGAGAAAAUCGAUGGGGCUUUAUUGUUGCUUGGAUUCCACACAUUGCAUGAGUAGAAAGGAAGUGCUCUGUAGAACUGCUGGACAUAUUGGAUGUAGGAAGGGGGUCAGGAAGUCUCCGGUAUCUGGAGGAGAUCAAUAAAGGAGAAAAACAGAGGAGAGAGAGACAACCAGAGGUCUGACCUGAAGCAUUCUUUGUUUCAGUGGAGUUUAAUGUGAUAAAAUAUUGAAUGCAUCUGUAAUAUUAAUACAAUUUAAUAGUGUAACACUGCUGUGCAAUUCAAGUCACUUUAGAGGGCUUCCCUCUUCCAGUACACAUGGGGG